AAUAAUAAAAAUUUAACAGUACGAUUGUGAAACCUAAGGGUGGAAGUAGCCUUAACCUCACUGCAAAUUUUGUGGAUUUCAAAUAAAAAUGUUUGCCAAAUUGGUGUUCCUUUUCGCCAUCAUUGCAGUAGCCCUGGCCAGGCCACAGCUGUACUCCGGCUAUGGGUACAGCGGGUACCCUGGUGCCUACCCUGGAUACGGGGGUUAUUCGGGUUACUCUAACCCCCUGUCCUACGGCGGUUAUGGGGGCUACUCGAGCUAUCCAUACAACUAUGGCAGUUACGGGGCUUACUGAUUUCAAUAGCGUUUAGUUUAUGAUUUACUAAUAAGUUCAAUUCGAUGUAAAACUUUUUUUUUUAUGUUGAGGUAUUUUGUAAUAUGAGUUAUAAAGUCAUGAACACACGUGUAUGCGAUGUCGCUGCUAAUUCAACGACGCCAUUCUUCUAUAGUCUAUGUGUGCGAGCCUUUAACGCACGAUAGUAAGGGAUUUUUUUUUUAAUUUUUGUUUUGUACAAUAUUUAAAAUAUAGUAUGUUACCAAAAUAUACUGACUUUUAUU
rnacentral:lncRNA from 1 species